CUGGCGGCAUGCUUAACACAUGCAAGUCGAACGAGAUCUUCGGAUCUAGUGGCGCACGGGUGAGUAACACGUGGGAACCUGCCUUUAGGUACGGAAUAACGUCUGGAAACGGACGCUAAUACCGUAUAUUUCCUCCGGGAAAAAGGUCCGCCGCCUAAAGAGGGGCCCGCGUCAGAUUAGCUUGUUGGUAGGGUAAUGGCCUACCAAGGCUACGAUCUGUAGUUGGUCUGAGAGGAUGAUCAGCCACACUGGGACUGAGACACGGCCCAGACUCCUACGGGAGGCAGCAGUGGGGAAUAUUGGACAAUGGGGGCAACCCUGAUCCAGCAAUGCCGCGUGUGGAUGAAGGCCCUAGGGUUGUAAAGCACUUUCAACGGUGACGAUGAUGACGGUA
rnacentral:rRNA from 1 species